rnacentral:snRNA from 1 species
GUGCGCUUUGGCAGCACAUAUAUUAAAAUUGGAACUAUACAGAGAAGAAUAACAUGGCCCCUGCCCAAGAAUGACACACAAAUUCAUGAAUCCUUCCGUAUUUUU